rnacentral:rRNA from 1 species
GACGAACGCUGGCGGCGUGCUUAACACAUGCAAGUCGAACGGUAAGGCCCUUCGGGGUACACGAGUGGCGAACGGGUGAGUAACACGUGGGUGAUCUGCCCUGCACUUCGGGAUAAGCCUGGGAAACUGGGUCUAAUACCGGAUAGGACCACUGCCUGCAUGGGUGGUGGUGGAAAGCUUUUGCGGUGUGGGAUGGGCCCGCGGCCUAUCAGCUUGUUGGUGGGGUGAUGGCCUACCAAGGCGACGACGGGUAGCCGGCCUGAGAGGGUGACCGGCCACAAUGGGACUGAGAUACGGCGCAGACUCCUACGGGAGGCAGCAGUGGGGAAUAUUGCACAAGGGGCGCAAGCCUGAUGCAGCGACGCCGCGUGAGUGAUGACGGCCUUCGGGUUGUAAACCUCUUUCAGCACCGACGAAGCGCAAGUGACGGUAGGUGCAGAAGAAGGACCGGCCAACUACGUGCCAGCCGCCGCAGUAA